ACAACAACAUUCGGACCGUCGGUCUACCGAGCAAUAUUACCCGCUCGGUGGAAGAUCUUCCUUUCGUCGUAUAUU
rnacentral:pre_miRNA from 1 species